rnacentral:rRNA from 1 species
UAAGCAUAUCAAUAAGCGGAGGAAAAGAAACCAACAGGGAUUGCCCCAGUAACGGCGAGUGAAGCGGCAAGAGCUCAAAUUUGAAAUCUGGCCUCCUCCGGGGGUCCGAGUUGUAAUUUGCAGAGGAUGCUUCGGGUGCGGCCCCCGUCUAAGUUCCUUGGAACAGGACGUCAGAGAGGGUGAGAAUCCCGUCUUGGGCGGGCGGCCCGCGCCCGUGUGAAGCUCCUUCGACGAGUCGAGUUGUUUGGGAAUGCAGCUCUAAGCGGGUGGUAAAUUUCAUCUAAAGCUAAAUAUUGGCCGGAGACCGAUAGCGCACAAGUAGAGUGAUCGAAAGGUUAAAAGCACCUUGAAAAGGGAGUUAAACAGCACGUGAAAUUGUUGAAAGGGAAGCGCUUGCGGCCAGACUCGGGGGCGGGGUUCAGCGGGCGCUCGUCGCCCGUGCACUCCCCGCGCCCCGGGCCAGCAUCAGUUUCGACGGUCGGUCAAAGGCCCCCGGAAUGUGUCGUCUCUAGGGACGUCUUAUAGCCGGGGGUGCAAUGCGGCCCGUCGGGACUGAGGAACGCGCUUCGGCUCGGAUGCUGGCGUAAUGGCCGUAAGCGGCCCGUCUUGAAACACGGACCAAGGAGUCUAACAUCCACGCGAGUGUUCGGGUGUCAAACCCGUGCGCGCAGUGAAAGCGAACGGAGGUGGGAGCCUUUGGGCGCACCAUCGACCGAUCCUGAAGUCUUCGGAUGGAUUUGAGUAGGAGCGUGGCCGUUGGGACCCGAAAGAUGGUGAACUAUGCCUGAAUAGGGUGAAGCCAGAGGAAACUCUGGUGGAGGCUCGCAGCGGUUCUGACGUGCAAAUCGAUCGUCAAAUUUGGGCAUAGGGGCGAAAGACUAAU